rnacentral:rRNA from 1 species
AGAGUUUGAUCCUGGCUCAGAGCGAACGCUGGCGGCAGGCUUAACACAUGCAAGUCGAACGGACCCUUCGGGGUUAGUGGCGGACGGGUGAGUAACACGUGGGAACGUGCCUUUAGGUUCGGAACAACACAGGGAAACUUGUGCUAAUACCGGAUGUGCCCUUCGGGGGAAAGAUUUAUCGCCUUUAGAGCGGCCCGCGUCUGAUUAGCUAGUUGGUAGGGUAAAGGCCUGCCAAGGCUACGAUCAGUAGCUGGUCUGAGAGGAUGGCCAGCCACAUUGGGACUGAGACACGGCCCAAACUCCUACGGGAGGCAGCAGUGGGGAAUCUUGCGCAAUGGGCGAAAGCCUGACGCAGCCUUGCCGCGUGGAUGAUGAAGGUCUUAGGAUUGUAAAAUCCUUCAGCGGG